rnacentral:rRNA from 1 species
GGUGCUUGCACCUGAGGGAUUAAACAUUUUAUCGAGCGGCGGACGGGUGAGUAACACGUAGGUAACCUACCCAAAAGAGGGGGAUAACAUCUGGAAACAGGUGCUAAUACCGCAUAACAACAUUUAUCGCAUGAUAGAUGUUUGAAAGAUGGUUUCGGCUAUCACUUUUGGAUGGACCUGCGGCGUAUUAGUUAGUUGGUGAGGUAACGGCUCACCAAGACGAUGAUACGUAGCCGAACUGAGAGGUUGAUCGGCCACACUGGGACUGAGACACGGCCCAGACUCCUACGGGAGGCAGCAGUAGGGAAUCUUCCACAAUGGACGAAAGUCUGAUGGAGCAACGCCGCGUGAGUGAAGAGGGGUUUCGGCUCGUAAAACACUGUUGUAAGAGAAGAAUGACAUUGAGAGUAACUGUUCAAUGUGUGACGGUAUCUUACCAGAAAGGAACGGCUAAAUACGUGC